rnacentral:rRNA from 1 species
GACGAACGCUGGCGGCGUGCUUAACACAUGCAAGUCGAACGAGGGGAUGGAUGAAAGCUUGCUUUUGUUCAUUUCGAGUGGCGGACGGGUGAGUAACGCGUGAGGAACCUGGCUUUUGCAGGGGGAUAGCGUUUCGAAAGGGACGGUAAUACCGCAUAAGACCACACUGCCGCAUGGCAGAGGGGUCAAAGGAGAAAUCCGGCAGAAGAUGGACUCGCGUCUGAUUAGCCAGUUGGCGGGGUAACGGCCCACCAAAGCGACGAUCAGUAGCAGGCCUGAGAGGGUGAACGGCCACAUUGGGACUGAGACACGGCCCAAACUCC